rnacentral:rRNA from 1 species
GAUGAACGCUGGCGGCGUGCCUAAUACAUGCAAGUCGAGCGAACAGACGAGGAGCUUGCUCCUCUGACGUUAGCGGCGGACGGGUGAGUAACACGUGGAUAACCUACCUAUAAGACUGGGAUAACUUCGGGAAACCGGAGCUAAUACCGGAUAAUAUAUUGAACCGCAUGGUUCAAUAGUGAAAGACGGUUUUGCUGUCACUUAUAGAUGGAUCCGCGCCGCAUUAGCUAGUUGGUAAGGUAACGGCUUACCAAGGCAACGAUGCGUAGCCGACCUGAGAGGGUGAUCGGCCACACUGGAACUGAGACAAGGUCCAGACUCCUACGGGAGGCAGCAGUAGGGAAUCUUCCGCAAUGGGCGAAAGCCUGACGGAGCAACGCCGCGUGAGUGAUGAAGGUCUUCGGAUCGUAAAACUCUGUUAUUAGGGAAGAACAAAUGUGUAAGUAACUAUGCACGUCUUGACGGUACCUAAUCAGAAAGCCACGGCUAACUACGU